CCCGGCUGUGUGCACAUGUGCCCAGGGCCCGGGACAGCGCCAUGGAAGAGGACGCACCCGGCUGUGUGCACAUGUGCCCAGGGCCCGGG
rnacentral:pre_miRNA from 1 species